rnacentral:rRNA from 1 species
UACGGAGGGUGCAAACGUUGCUCGGAAUCAUUGGGCGUAAAGCGCACGUAGGCGGCCCGGUAAGUCGGAUGUGAAAGCCCUCGGCUCAACUGAGGAAGUGCAUUCGAAACUGCCAGGCUUGAAUAUGGAAGAGGGUCGCGGAAUUCCCGGUGUAGAGGUGAAAUUCGUAGAUAUCGGGAGGAACACCAGUGGCGAAGGCGGCGCCUGGGCCAAUAUUGACGCUGAGGUGCGAAAGCGUGGGGAGCAAACAGG